rnacentral:snRNA from 1 species
AUAUCUUUCUCAGCAUUUUGGCUAAGAUCAAGUGUAGUAUUUGUUCUUAUCAAUUUAAUAUAUGAUAUGUGGUUCAUAGAACCACAUGGUAUUAAAAGUGUUUUUCUAGGGGAGAGCCCAUUCAUCGGUAGCUUGUUGUCGGGGCUCUUAUGUGUCACUUGUGCACUGCACUACAACACAUACUAGCCUCACCCCA